UGUGCAUCAUAAUUGUGUGUAUUCUGAAUAUAUAAAUUGCUAGCCAUGAAAUUAGCAAGACGGAAAAAGGCCAUUUUGUUCCAAAAAUGUUCAAAAAGGUCUUUGCUUCCAAUUAAACAUAAUAUUAUUAAACAUAAUACAUUAAAUGAGAUGAACUGGAAUUGACACAGUGGAAAUGAUCAUGACUUAAAAAUAAUAUAAAAUAAAGACAGAAUACUCCUGUGGUUCAUAUAUACACACUGUUGGACAUUAUUAUUAGACAAAUGAAAUAAACUAGUGAAAAUGAGAAAAGCAUAUGUUUUAAGAAUGUUUACUUUCUAAACUUCACCAGAGCCAAAACUGCCCAUAUAAUAAUCACCCAGGUGUAUAUAAUGGGAUGUCUGUAAAUGAGAUGGUUUUUUUUUUUGUACAACACUAUCAUUGUACAUCACAGAGAAGUAUCUGCACAUCCCCCACUUCCUUCUGUGCGUGUCAAACGAGAGUUUGAGGUUUGGGUUGUCUAGACAACCAAGUCCAUCUCGUGUACAUCAUGUUCAGAGAAAUAAAAGAGCGGCCUCCUGUUUAUCAAACUACCAAAUACUCAGGGGAGACUGGGACAAAAGUGUUUAAAUUCAAGCAUCUGAGGAAAGUGACACCGAAGAAAGAGUGUCUGAUAUUACAUUUUCCUUUGAUAAUCUCAUAAUAUGUUUAAUCCUGUAUGCAUAUAAUAUUUCAAAAGAUCUACAACUGUUUUACUUAUCAGCAUCUUACUGUAAAACAAUGCCAAAUUAGCCAUGAUUUUAAAUUAAACUCAUAUGACAUUUAUAUGACACAAUACCACACCCUCAUAAGUAUAUGUAAUAAGCUGAUGAAACAGUGUGGUUUUGCACAACAUAGCAACCACCCCUCCCCCCCAGGAAAGAGCUCUACAAGUGCCGCAAGCAAGAUAAUGCUUCAAACAUUCAAGUUAUUACGAAACUAUUCAUAAAAACACACACAAAACAAGUGUAACAUCUUCCACCGGUGAUAUCUGCUCACAUACCAACCCCGCUGUUAUUUAAAACUGAUGGAAUAUCAUGUUUUUAAAGCCCCACCAUCAGAUGUGGAAGCCUGAUGCAAUCUGAUCACAUGUUUAGUAGACUUCCUCUUUAAUUCUUUGUGUGAUUUUUAUGUAUGCUAAAGACCGAGGGCUUUUUCUCUCAUUUCUGAUCUGUCUUUUAUCAGUUAAAAUGCCCUUAAAAGGAAUUGAUUCGAGUCCAUCUUUGAACGAAACUAGUCCAAUAGGCGCGCAUUCGUGCUUCUUUAAGACAGCGACUGCAGGGCCUCUUCCUGUGGUUUGCACCAUGUGGCCUAAAAAGUGUUAAAAGGCGACAACUUCUUUCUCUUUUCGCUGUUGUUUCCGGGAUCAAGCAGGCAGAGAACUGGUUUAACAAAUAGUUGUAAAACGAGCAUUUGGAGCACAUGGAGAUAAGAGGAAGCGUGCAAAGAAACGAUUGGAGCGCGAAGAGGCGGGAACAUCAGAGGUACAGUGCAGUCACUCAUAAAGUAGACAGCACUACUAAAGGUCUCUACACAGUGUAGUGUUUCCUACUUUAUGGAUGAGUGUACUGUUGGCUGCGAUGGAUGAUCUUAUGGAGAACCAAAGAUGCUGAAUCUGAAUGUCUUGUGAAUUACGUAUUAAUAACGAUUGUGUUCCAUGACUAACUGUAAUGCAGUAAUGUUUUUUUGAAUGCAUUCGUCUUUAUAUUUGCAUGUUAACUUGUAUCAAACAACUCUGAAUUCAUUAAACAGUAAUAAAAUGAAGCUGAACUGCA